UACAGAGGUGGCAAGCGUUGUUCGGAAUUACUGGGCGUAAAGGGCGCGUAGGCGGUUCGUUAAGUCCUGUGUGAAAUCCCCCGGCUCAACUGGGGAACUGCACAGGAAACUAGCGGGCUUGAGUUCGGGAGAGGGAAGCGGAAUUCCGGGUGUAGCGGUGAAAUGCGUAGAUAUCCGGAGGAACACCAGUGGCGAAGGCGGCGACCUGGGCAGAUACUGACGCUGAGGUGCGAAAGCGUGGGGAGCAAACAGG
rnacentral:rRNA from 1 species